ensembl:lncRNA
CUUGUGCUCUCUUUCGAUGUGGUUUAUUGGGCCUGUCUCGAGAGACCACCAUGGUGCACCUUAGUUUGGCCAAAUAGAGCUUAUGUAGCCCACACGCGUCUCGUGGCUAUAAUUAGAACUGAAACUCGAGACUGCCCCGAAGGGCGGGACUGCCCCGGCUUGGUCCGCCAGGCUUAUAAGAGCGCGGGAUCCUUGGGACUGGUUUGGCACAAGACUUUCCGACCAGGACACAUACAAAAUUUAGCCAGUAUCCAGGGCAUCUCAGUGCGAUCUCAGUGCUUCUUGUGCGAUUUAAGGAAGAUGAUGGUCUAAAAUGGGUUAUCGACCAGAAACCACAAGGACUACUAUACCUGUUGUCUUUCUCUGAGGCCCCACACAUCCAAUCAGAGGAAUAUGCAACUAAAUGAUAAAGCCCGAUGAUAAACUACUGAUCAUGGGGAGACACAGUGGCCCCCUGAGUCAGACCAGGGAGCAGCGGUGAGGGGCUGUCCAUACAAUAGUUAAAUAUACCCCCCUGACACCCCAAACACGCGCUCUAUAUAUAAAGCCACGGGCCUCAGCGUUCCUCUGCGUCGGGGCAACCGGAGACACGCACGGACCCCAAGAUAUGCAUCACAAGACUAUCAACGUACCACCGCCCAGCCCUCUCCUCUCCCCUCCGCUCCCUCCCCGCCGCUCCCUCCCCUGGCACCCUCCACAGACACCCAGCCCCAACCCUAUCCACACGUCUCGGCCGACCCCAAUCUGUCUCGGUGCUAGUGCUCGGUUUGUGGCGGGAUGGGCACCUGAACAUAUAGGUUUGUGCAAGGUGAGACGGGUGCUUCAUGACUGAUCGUUUUCGACAUGUUGACAGGACAUUUGAAAAUGACAGCUGCGAUCUAAACAUUUGUAAUCUGAAGCACUCACCGCCUUGAUUCUUUGAGUUCAUGUGAACAUAUUUUUGGUUAACAUGCUGUAGAGGAGUUUCUGUGUUUCCUAAUCUUAAUUAGCUGUGAAAAUAGGACGUUUCCUUCUUCUUAUUGAAUCAUUGCAUUUCCAGGGAUUUUGAUAUUGAAUCUUGAAUUCACAGAUCUAUUACUUCUAUUCGUACUCAUGCUUCCAAGCUUCCAAAGCCUUAAGGCUGAGAUAAUCUUUGAGAUAUCGUUAUGGUUGGUUGGACUACCCCACUGAAAAAGCCUCAGAUCAUUCAAGUGAUGAAGCAAUUUCUUCAAUUACAUGACCCAUGUUUUUAUAUUGAAAUCGAAAUAAAGCUUUUUGGUAGUGUAUGUGUCCUCAUUUCUCGGCACAUACCCUUAGCGGGGUAAAGGUAAAGGUAACUAGCUAAAGGUAACUAGAACUAGAAUGGUCAGACUUUAUGGGGGGGGACACACCAGGCACUCUUUUACACUAAUAGGGCUGACGUUGUGCGUUGUUUCGCUCAGUAGGCUAUUUGUUUCAGGUCGUGCAUAACAUUGUAAGGUGAGGACAGUCAGGGCAUGCUAGGUUAUCGUCAUCAGGGUGUGCCCUGAGGAGGGGAGUUCAAGCCAUGUGCGUCGGAAAGUAUCUCCGACGCUAAUGUGUAAACCCCAUAACUUCCCGGGCGGGUUUGCUAUUGUUAUGAACGCGGCGCCAGCAACAGGUCCCGAGGUCUCUACAGGAGACCGUGUAGUUGAUGUGUCACAGAACUAUCACUUCCAUUCGUACUCAUGCUUUCAAGCUUCCAAAGGCUUUAGGAUGAGAUCAUCUUUGAGAUAGAAUUAUGGUUGGUUGGACGACCAC